rnacentral:tRNA from 1 species
GAGGGUAUAGUUCAGUGGUAGAGUGCAUGCCUAGCAUGUAAAAGGCCCUGGGUUCAAUCCCCAGUAUCUCUG